GGCGCCCUCCCCGCCCCGCCCCGCCCGCCCCAGGCCCGAGCGAGGCGCCGCGGGAGGAAUUCCAGCCAUUUCCUCUGCGCCGCGCGCCAGAGUCCCAAGGCCAAGAACAGCCCUUGCAGCAAGAUGUGCGCCCCUCAUUCCUCACAAACGCUACAGCCACAGACCGCAUAAAUCCAGAUGAGGAAGCCGGUACCCAGCUGGCAGAAGAGAGGUUUGAACUCAGGGAUCUGACUCCACUGGUCAUGACUUGAACUUCUGCUGGGGGAUAAUCAAUUCUGAUGGCCUUUCUGACCAUCAAUGGAAACAACUCCACCGCAGUCUUUAACUGCCUUUAACAGCAAAGAAGACAUUCCUGCAACACUCACCUGCACCUAGCAGAUCUGAGUGCAACCUCAUUAAACUGAGUGGCCUCAGGGAACCAACUCCAACACCCCAGUGAAUGGAGGAACAAACUGUCCAUAGAAAUAAGAUUCUAAAUGGACUGGAUAUAAGUCACCAAGGUCAGGGUCAGCCCUGGACCAGCCCUUCCUGUGUGAUUUCAGGACCACAUGGAGGCCCAAGUGGCCUUUUUACUAAAAAUCAACCGUUAAAGAAUCAGAUGUGUGUUUAUAUAGGUCACUGGUAACUCACUUUGGACCACUGGCCCAAGACAUAUUUUGUCUGACUUUCAUAGCUUUUUUUUUUUAUUUGAGAGAGACAGAGACAGCAUGAGUGGGGGAAGGGCAGAGAGAGAAAGAGAGAGAGAGAGAGAGAGAGAGAGAGAGAGAGAGAGAGAGAGAGA